UGGGGAAUAUUGCACAAUGGGCGCAAGCCUGAUGCAGCCAUGCCGCGUGUAUGAAGAAGGCCUUCGGGUUGUAAAGUACUUUCAGCGGGGAGGAAGGGAGUAAAGUUAAUACCUUUGCUCAUUGACGUUACCCGCAGAAGAAGCACCGGCUAACUCCGUGCCAGCAGCCGCGGUAAUACGGAGGGUGCAAGCGUUAAUCGGAAUUACUGGGCGUAAAGCGCACGCAGGCGGUUUGUUAAGUCAGAUGUGAAAUCCCCGGGCUCAACCUGGGAACUGCAUUCGAAACUGGCAAGCUAGAGUCUUGUAGAGGGGGGUAGAAUUCCAGGUGUAGCGGUGAAAUGCGUAGAGAUCAGGAGGAAUACCAGUGGCGAAGGCGGCCCCCUAGACAAAGACUGACGCUCAGGUGCGAAAGCGUGGGGAGCAAACAGG
rnacentral:rRNA from 1 species